rnacentral:rRNA from 1 species
UACGUAGGGUGCGAGCGUUAAUCGGAAUUACUGGGCGUAAAGCGUGCGCAGGCGGUUUUGUAAGUCAGAUGUGAAAUCCCCGAGCUCAACUUGGGAACUGCGUUUGAAACUAUAAGACUAGAGUAGGUCAGAGGGGGGUAGAAUUCCACGUGUAGCAGUGAAAUGCGUAGAGAUGUGGAGGAAUACCAAUGGCGAAGGCAGCCCCCUGGGAUCAUACUGACGCUCAUGCACGAAAGCGUGGGGAGCAAACAGG